rnacentral:rRNA from 1 species
GACGAACGCUGGCGGCGUGCCUAAUACAUGCAAGUUGAGCGAUGAAGAUUGGUGCUUGCACCAAUUUGAAGAGCAGCGAACGGGUGAGUAACGCGUGGGGAAUCUGCCUUUGAGCGGGGGACAACAUUUGGAAACGAAUGCUAAUACCGCAUAACAACUUUAAACAUAAGUUUUAAGUUUGAAAGAUGCAAUUGCAUCACUCAAAGAUGAUCCCGCGUUGUAUUAGCUAGUUGGUGAGGUAAAGGCUCACCAAGGCGAUGAUACAUAGCCGACCUGAGAGGGUGAUCGGCCACAUUGGGACUGAGACACGGCCCAAACUCCUACGGGAGGCAGCAGUAGGGAAUCUUCGGCAAUGGACGAAAGUCUGACCGAGCAACGCCGCGUGAGUGAAGAAGGUUUUCGGAUCGUAAAACUCUGUUGGUAGAGAAGAACGUUGGUGAGAGUGGAAAGCUCAUCAGGUGACGGUAACUACCCAGAAAGGGACGGCUAACUACGUG